rnacentral:rRNA from 4 species
GCGAACGCUGGCGGCAGGCCUAACACAUGCAAGUCGAACGGAUCCUUCGGGAUUAGUGGCGGACGGGUGAGUAACACGUGGGAACGUGCCUUUUGGUUCGGAACAACUCAGGGAAACUUGAGCUAAUACCGGAUAAGCCUUUCGAGGGAAAGAUUUAUCGCCAUUAGAGCGGCCCGCGUAGGAUUAGCUAGUUGGUGGGGUAAAGGCCCACCAAGGCUACGAUCCUUAGCUG